UACGAGGGGGGCGAGCGUUGUUCGGAAUUAUUGGGCGUAAAGGGUGCGUAGGCGGCCUGACAAGUCUGAUGUGAAAUCCCUGGGCUCAACCCAGGGCCUGCAUUCGAUACGGGCAGGCUGGAGUUCGGCAGGGGAGACUGGAAUUCCUGGUGUAGCGGUGAAAUGCGCAGAUAUCAGGAGGAACACCGGUGGCGAAGGCGGGUCUCUGGGCCGAUACUGACGCUGAGGAGCGAAAGCGUGGGGAGCGAACAGG
rnacentral:rRNA from 1 species